AGGCUGCACAGGCUGGCUGGCCUGGAGGCUGGGCUGGCGAGUAUCUCUUUGAAAGGCUCACCUUCAAGUACAACUAGGAGC
rnacentral:pre_miRNA from 2 species